rnacentral:rRNA from 1 species
AACGAACGCUGGCGGCAUGCCUAACACAUGCAAGUCGAACGAUACCUUCGGGUCUAUUUGCGCACGGGAUCGGAACGCGUGGGAAUCUUCCCUUGGGUUCGGAAUAACAGUUGGAAAGGACUGCUAAUACCGGAUGAAUACGUAAGUCCCAAGAUUUAUCGCACAGGGAUGAGCCCGCGUAGGAUUAGCUAGUUGGUGGGGUAAAGGCCUACCCAGGCUACGUUCCUUAGCUGGUCUGAGAGGAUGAUCAGCAACACUGGGACUGAGACACGGCCCAGACUCCUACGGGAGGCAGCAGUGGGGAAUAUUGGACAAUGGGCGAGAGCCUGAUCCAGCAAUGCCGCGUGAGUCAGGAAGGCCUUAGGGUUGUAAAGCUCUUUUAACCGGGAUGAUAAUGACAGUACCGGGAGAAUAAGCCCCGGCUAACUCCGUG